GAUGAACGCUAGCGGCAGGCCUAAUACAUGCAAGUCGAGGGGUAGAAGAGGCUUGCUUCUUUGAGACCGGCGCACGGGUGCGUAACGCGUAUGCAACCUACCUUCAUCUGGGGGAUAGCCCGGAGAAAUCCGGAUUAAUACCGCAUAAAAUCACAGGAUGGCAUUAUCCAAUGAUCAAACAUUUAUGGGAUGGAGAUGGGCAUGCGUGUCAUUAGCUAGUUGGCGGGGUAACGGCCCACCAAGGCGACGAAGACUAUGGGAUCUGAGAGGAAGGCCCACCCAACUGGUACCGAGGCACGGACCAGACUCCUACGGGGGGCAGCAGGAAGGAAUAUUGGUCAAUGGAGGCAACUCUUAACCAGCCAUGCGGGGUACAGGAAGACUGCCCUAUGGGUUGUAAACUGCUUGUAUUCGGGAAUAAACCUUAUUACGUGUAAUAAGCUGAAUGUACCGAAAGAAUAAGGAUCGGCUAACUCCGUGCCAGCCGCCGCGGUAA
rnacentral:rRNA from 1 species